UCACUGUCUGAACCCCAGUGCAGACGGACUGAAAGAGGUCCACGUUGAUUCUGCUGAAUGAUGCCCUAUGUGGUGCGCUUGUCCAUAAAGUGAUGCCCGCUCCACCUAGAUCUUCUUCAAUUUUUCUCUUUUGGCCUUGAAGUUUAUUUCUGUCUCCUUGAAGUAAAGAACUACCUGCCUGAACUUUGUAGCUCAUCUUAACAUGCUGCACACUCACACAUAUGCAAGUUCUGUCUAAAAGGAGAGAGGAAGGGUG
rnacentral:lncRNA from 1 species